UGUUUAUUUUACCUUGUUGCUUCGGCGGGCCCGCCUUAACUGGCCGCCGGGGGGCUUACGUCCCCGGGCCCGCGCCCGCCGAAGACACCCUCGAACUCUGUCUGAAGAUUGUAGUCUGAGUGAAAAUAUAAAUUAUUUAAAACUUUCAACAACGGAUCUCUUGGUUCCGGCAUCGAUGAAGAACGCAGCGAAAUGCGAUACGUAAUGUGAAUUGCAAAUUCAGUGAAUCAUCGAGUCUUUGAACGCACAUUGCGCCCCCUGGUAUUCCGGGGGGCAUGCCUGUCCGAGCGUCAUUGCUGCCCUCAAGCACGGCUUGUGUGUUGGGCCCCGUCCUCCGAUCCCGGGGGACGGGCCCGAAAGGCAGCGGCGGCACCGCGUCCGGUCCUCGAGCGUAUGGGGCUUUGUCACCCGCUCUGUAGGCCCGGCCGGCGCUUGCCGAUCAACCCAAAUUUUUAUCCAGGUUGACCUCGGAUCAGGUAGGGAUACCCGCUGAACUUAAGCAUAUCAA
rnacentral:rRNA from 1 species